rnacentral:rRNA from 1 species
UACGUAGGUGACCAGCGUUGUCCGGAUUUACUGGGCGUAAAGCGUGCGCAGGCGGUGAUGUAAGACAGUUGUGAAAUCCCCGGGCUCAACCUGGGAACUGCAUCUGUGACUGCAUCGCUGGAGUACGGUAGAGGGGGAUGGAAUUCCGCGUGUAGCAGUGAAAUGCGUAGAUAUGCGGAGGAACACCGAUGGCGAAGGCAAUCCCCUGGACCUGUACUGACGCUCAUGCACGAAAGCGUGGGGAGCAAACAGG